CCUACGGGAGGCAGCAGUGAGGAAUAUUGGUCAAUGGACGCAAGUCUGAACCAGCCAUGCCGCGUGCAGGAAGACGGCUCUAUGAGUUGUAAACUGCUUUUGUACGAGGGUAAACGCAGAUACGCGUAUCUGUCUGAAAGUAUCGUACGAAUAAGGAUAGGCUAACUCCGUGCCAGCAGCCGCGGUAAUACGGAGGAUUCAAGCGUUAUCCGGAUUUAUUGGGUUUAAAGGGUGCGUAGGCGGUCGGAUAAGUUAGAGGUGAAAUCCCGAGGCUCAACUUCGGAAUUGCCUCUGAUACUGUUAGGCUAGAGAGUAGUUGCGGUAGGCAGAAUGUAUGGUGUAGCGGUGAAAUGCUUAGAGAUCAUACAGAACACCGAUUGCGAAGGCAGCUUACCAAGCUAAUUCUGACGUUGAGGCACGAAAGCGUGGGGAGCAAACAGGAUUAGAUACCCGAGUAGUC
rnacentral:rRNA from 1 species